AGCUCUCACCACUUUGUUUUAAUUUUGUAACUGUAAAAUGUUGUUUAAGUUGAAAACUUUGAUAUAACACCUCUAUUAUGUUACUUUACAUGUAUUGUUAAAGGGAAACUUGGCAGGAUUUCCCCCUCUGCUGGAGAAAUUGCACAUUAUGCUAUUUCAAACUGUGUGAAAAGGUGAGUCAAAGGCAAGGUGUGUGUGUGGAGUGAAAUCAUUAAGCUGGGGAACAAUACUGCUGGACAUGACAGGUAAGAUAUAGGUAGCUCUUCAUAGGUGAGGAAAGGUUGUGUGUGUGUGUGUGGAGUGAAAUCACUAAGCUGGGGAACAAUACUGAUGUAGAUGACAGGUAAGCAGUGUAUAUAGUUAACCAUCAGCACAUAACUUGUUUACAAGGAAAAAUAUGAGUAUCUAAAUUACAGAUGGCUUAGGCCUACUGCAGCUAGCCAAUGUUAAAAUCAAGUUUUGUAACAUUUGUACUUACCUUGUGUAGAAACGGAUGUCGUCAUCAGAUCCCGCGAAUCUAUGUAAUCCAAAAGUGGCCUGGAUUUUCAGUUCCCCCAUUUCUAUACUCAUCAACCUAAUUUGUUCUUUUAGCUGCAGGUUUUCAGUUGCUGUCAUGUCCAAAGCCAUAGGGUCUGGGACAGAAGAAUCGUGGGCCACCACUGCAGUGCACUCCAUAGGUUGUUCAUCAGAGGGCUCGUCAAAGGACUCCGGUCUGACAAUACGGUCCCACACACUGGCUCUCGGUGGGGGGAUUUUGAAGUUGUUCCAUUUGAACAACACAGGGACAACUCCCUUCUUCAAACGUCUUUUCCCACCUUCUGAUUUAGCCUCAGAUAUGUCCCCGGGGAGAAGGCUGCUGUGUGAAGUAAAAACAAACUGAUCCCACCCAAUUAGUAUUAGCCAUCGUCGCCUCAGAGUUUCGUCUCGUGGAAAAGCAUGAAAACUGAGUCCAGCGCUAUAUGUUGAAGACGCAGUGCACUCCGGAACACAACAGUGUUCGUGGUACUGCUUCUGUUGUUUUUGAAAAGCUAAUUUCUUGGCCUGCGGUCCUAUUAUUUCGCCUGUCUGCCAGAGUCCGCCAUUGUAAACAGAACGUACCGGAAGCUGGCAGAAGUAGCAUACCCGCAUCAUUUGACAUCGCAGCGAACGUUCUACUGACGUGCAUAGAGCCAAGAAAACUGUAAGAAGAGGGGAUAGAUUUAAAAUGCUGCUGCAGCGUGAAACUUUUUGGAUCUGGAAGUUUAACGCAAUAGAGAGAUAAGGAGAUAGUCUAUAGGCCCUUUUUGUAGAAAUGUCUAUUGUGUAGUCUACUGUGUUUGCUUUUUUUCUGAGUAACUGCAACUUCUAUGUGAUAUUUCCUCUCUAUAUGGACAUAUUUACCUCUUAUGAUAUAGUUGUGGGUGCCUGUACAAUCUGUUUUCUGUUUUUCUUUUUACAAUUGUGUUUGGCAUGUGAUUUCUCUCUAAGAUCUGUGAGAGGGGCGGGUCUUAGUAAUUGGUUGCAUCGGAUCUAAUUAAGCAAUUAACACCUGUGCUCUAUGCCUGCACUAAAACCAUUCAUUCCUGUGUUGUCUUACUAUGCCCUGACCCACACAGCAGUAGACUCCUAGGCGGAUCCGCCUUCAAGUCGCCAAACCCGCGUGACUGUCGCAUUCGUUUUGGUGCCGCACAGAGGAUCAGCUCCGCCUCCAGGCGGCCCCGUAAAUUCUACUGUCAAACAGGGGAUCCUGAGUGGACCCAUGUCGGAUCCGCUGGCGCGGACGCGCCUUUACUGUAACGGUUGAACAUGACUGUACACCAAGAGCCAAGAAGAGUCAUACUAGUGGAUAUUUUCUUUGCUGGGACACGGUUGCGCUGAACCCUCUUGAUGUCAACUUUUAUCGGCUGGAUUCUAGCAUCUAACGUUACGAUUGCC